rnacentral:rRNA from 1 species
UGGGGAAUAUUGGACAAUGGGGGGAACCCUGAUCCAGCCAUGCCGCGUGUGUGAAGAAGGCCUUAUGGUUGUAAAGCACUUUAAGCGAGGAGGAGGGUACUGGUAUUAAUACUACCAGCUACUGGACGUUACUCGCAGAAUAAGCACCGGCUAACUCUGUGCCAGCAGCCGCGGUAAUACAGAGGGUGCGAGCGUUAAUCGGAUUUACUGGGCGUAAAGCGUGCGUAGGCGGCUAAUUGAGUCGGAUGUGAAAUCCCCGAGCUUAACUUGGGAAUUGCAUUAGAUACUGGUUAGCUAGAGUGUGGGAGAGGAUGGUAGAAUUCCAGGUGUAGCGGUGAAAUGCGUAGAGAUCAGGAGGAAUACCGAUGGCGAAGGCAGCCAUCUGGCCUAACACUGACGCUGAGGUACGAAAGCAUGGGGAGCAAACAGG